GGGGAUGACGUUGUCUUGAUCGAGGUCAGAGAUCGACAUGUUGAUCUUGAUCUUGAAUCUGUCCCACCGGGCGUGCCAAAAGAUGUGUUGAUGCAAAAUCAAUCUGCAAACACAAAGGGCUAAUACCCGAUUCAAACGUUAAGGCGUGCCAGCCGAUUUGACCUUGCUAUCGGCAAAGGUGAUAACUCGAAUACUUUAGUCCUGACAACAGCGAUGCGCCCGGAUGUCACGGCUAAGAGGUACUCACGCGGAACUCGAGAAUACGCCGAGCUUAAGUCGACGAAUUCCUAAGAACUCGUAAUAAAAAGAAAAAAGUAUGACGAAGUCGUCGAAAAGUAGAUGCUGGAAUAUGAGUAAAAACGUAUGUUUGAUUGAUUUCUUGAUAGAUAUCCUGAUUACAAGGUCCUAGGGCUUAUAUUUAUACCCUGCUCAAAGAGCUACGACCAGACACGAUUAGAAUUCGAAUUCCAAAUUACACGGAACCCGUAUACAAAACGAUGCGAAUAACAUAAGGAAAUAAUAAAACCAUCCUUCGUGACAAACCGAAACUCCUCCACAUGACAACUGGCAGCUUCCGGACUCCUCCUUCGCGUCAUCGGCAAUCCCCUUGCCAUAGUCAUCGGCAGACCCUUUUACUUGGUCAUCGGCACCAUAUUACUGUCUGAGGACUUAGUCACAUUCAACCUUUCCCUCAUCGGCAACCAUCCUUACCAGCAACCCGCAUCGUACUGCCACCCUGUCCUGCCAUCCUGGACACUUGCCCAAAAAUGGUGUCAACACACAUAUAUAUAUGCUGCUUCUACACUGGAAGUACGCAACCACAUGUAUUUCGCAUCCACUAAAUAGGUUGCUCCAUACUCUAAAUGUUAGAACAUCUCUCUAAGCAUUAUUUGGUAAAUGAGACAUCAAAAGGCUAGGCAAAAUGAAAUAAAAAGAUGGACAUAUGCAAGUCCACAGAAAAAGAAAAUUGAGCACAUGAAAGCUCAUAUAUAUAUAAAAAAAAAGAGAAAAAAAAAAGCUAGCCAUGUCUCAAUACAUAGAGAGUCUAUCAAAUAAAGGAGCAACCUAGUCCACCAUAUAUCACACUUGCACAUCUUGAUCUGGGAGUAUGACACUUCUCUUCAAGGAUCCGAGCUUUGACUUCGCAAUAUAUGCAAAGUAAGUAUGCUAUCUCCUUUCAUCCCUACCUUGAACUCCACAUAAGCCUUUUAGAAAUAGGAUGAAAUAGAGAAGGCAACUCUUACCAUAUGCCUUGGUGAGGAAUCAUACACCAUUUGAGUGACAUGAGAGAACCAUAAGAGGAACAUUUAAGCUUUCUUUUGAAAAUAUCACAAAACCUCUGAUAUGAAACUUGCUAAGAAUGAGAAAGUUAGUGCUCAAGUCAAACUGUUCUGUCUCUCAACCACCUAAGACAAAGGAAAAGCCAUAAGCCCCAUAAGGGACUAAGGUAAUAGGGGUAAGUUUACAUAGCUAAAUUUUUCAUGC
rnacentral:lncRNA from 1 species